rnacentral:rRNA from 1 species
AGGACGAACGCUGGCGGCGUGCUUAACACAUGCAAGUCGAGCGGUAAGGCCUUUCGGGGUACACGAGCGGCGAACGGGUGAGUAACACGUGGGUGAUCUGCCCUGCACUCUGGGAUAAGCCUGGGAAACUGGGUCUAAUACCGGAUAUGACCUGCUCUCGCAGUGGGGGUGGGUGGAAAGUAUUUAUCGGUGCAGGAUGGGCCCGCGGCCUAUCAGCUUGUUGGUGGGUAAUGGCCUACCAAGGCGACGACGGGUAGCCGACCUGAGAGGGUGACCGGCCACGACGUGGGACUGAGACCACGGCCCAGACUCCUACGGGAGGCAGGCAGUAGGGAAUAUG